UACCAGCACCCCGAGUGGUCGGGACGAUUAUUGGGCCUAAAGCAUCCGUAGCCGGUUCUGCAAGUCCCCCGUUAAAUCCAGCUGCUCAACAGAUGGGCCGCGGAGGAUACUCCAGAGCUAGGAGGCAGGAGAGGCAAGCGGUACUCAGUGGGUAGGGGUAAAAUCCGUUGAUCCAUUGAAGACCACCAGUGGCGAAGGCGGCGUUGCCAGAAUGCGCUCGACGGUGAGGGAGUGAAAGCUGGGGGAGCAAACCGG
rnacentral:rRNA from 1 species